CCUACGAGGAGCAGCAGUGGGGAAUAUUGGGCAAUGGGCGCAAGCCUGACCCAGCAACGCCGCGUGACGGCAGAAGGCUUUCGGGUUGUAAACUUCUUUUCUCAGGGACGAAGCAAGUGACGGUACCUGAGGAAUAAGCCACGGCUCACUACGUGCCAGCAGCCGCGGUAAUACGUAGGUGGCAAGCGUUAUCCGGCUUUACUGGGUGUAAAGGGCGUGUAGGCGGGACUGCAAGUCAGAUGUGAAAACCACGGGCUCAACCUGUGGCCUGCAUUUGAAACUGUAGUUCGUGAGUACUGGAGAGGCAGACGGAAUUCCUAGUGUAGCGGUGAAAUGCGUAGAUAUUAGGAGGAACACCAGUGGCGAAGGCGGUCUGCUGGACAGCAACUGACGCUGAGGCGCGAAAGCGUGGGGAGCAAACAGGAUUAGAUACCCCUGUAGUC
rnacentral:rRNA from 1 species